rnacentral:rRNA from 1 species
UACGGAGGAUCCGAGCGUUAUCCGGAUUUAUUGGGUUUAAAGGGUGCGCAGGCGGGAGAUUAAGUCGGCGGUGAAAUUUUGCAGCUCAACUGUAAAAGUGCCUUCGAUACUGGUUUCCUUGAGUGUGGAUGAAGUAGGCGGAAUUUGUGGUGUAGCGGUGAAAUGCUUAGAUAUCACGAGGAACUCCGAUUGCGCAGGCAGCUUACUAAACCACUACUGACGCUCAGGCACGAAGGCGUGGGGAUCAAACAGGAUUAGAUACCCGUGUA